rnacentral:rRNA from 1 species
AAUGAACGCUGGCGGCAGGCCUAACACAUGCAAGUCGAACGCCCCGCAAGGGGAGUGGCGCACGGGUGAGUAACGCGUGGGAAUAUGCCCUUCGGUUCGGAAUAACACAGGGAAACUUGUGCUAAUACCGGAUACGAUCUACGGAUGAAAGAUUCAUCGCCGAAGGAGUAGCCCGCGUAGGAUUAGCUAGUUGGUGAGGUAAUGGCUCACCAAGGCAACGAUCCUUAGCUGGUCUGAGAGGAUGAUCAGCCACACUGGGACUGAGACACGGCCCAGACUCCUACGGGAGGCAGCAGUGGGGAAUAUUGGACAAUGGGCGAAAGCCUGAUCCAGCCAUGCCGCGUGAGUGAUGAAGGCCUUAGGGUUGUAAAGCUCUUUCGCCAGGGAAGAUAAUGACGGUACCUGGAAAAGAAGCCUCGGCUAACUCCGUGCCAGCCGCCGCGGUAAGAC